rnacentral:rRNA from 1 species
UACGUAGGGUCCGAGCGUUGUCCGGAUUUAUUGGGCGUAAAGAGCUCGUAGGCGGUUCAGUAAGUCGGGUGUGAAAACUUUGGGCUUAACCCAAAGCGUGCAUCCGAUACUGCUGUGACUUGAGUUCGGUAGGGGAGUGGGGAAUUCCUAGUGUAGCGGUGAAAUGCGCAGAUAUUAGGAGGAACACCGGUGGCGAAGGCGCCACUCUGGGCCGAAACUGACGCUGAGGAGCGAAAGCAUGGGUAGCAAACAGG